GUCUAAGGCUAUACCACCCUGAACACACCUGAUCUCAGAAGUUAAGCAGGGUUGGGCCUGUCUAGUACUUGGAUGGGAGACUGCCUGGGAAUAUCAGGUGCUAUGGCUU
ensembl:rRNA 5S_rRNA 5S ribosomal RNA